rnacentral:rRNA from 1 species
GCUAAUACAUGCAAGUCGAACGCUUCUUUUCCACCGGAGCUUGCUCCACCGGAAAAAGAGGAGUGGCGAACGGGUGAGUAACACGUGGGUAACCUGCCCAUCAGAAGGGGAUAACACUUGGAAACAGGUGCUAAUACCGUAUAACAAUCAAAACCGCAUGGUUUUGAUUUGAAAGGCGCUUUCGGGUGUCGCUGAUGGAUGGACCCGCGGUGCAUUAGCUAGUUGGUGAGGUAACGGCUCACCAAGGCCACGAUGCAUAGCCGACCUGAGAGGGUGAUCGGCCACAUUGGGACUGAGACACGGCCCAAACUCCUACGGGAGGCAGCAGUAGGGAAUCUUCGGCAAUGGACGAAAGUCUGACCGAGCAACGCCGCGUGAGUGAAGAAGGUUUUCGGAUCGUAAAACUCUGUUGUUAGAGAAGAACAAGGAUGAGAGUAACUGUUCAUCCCUUGACGGUAUCUAACCAGAAAGCCACGGCUAACUACGUGCCAGCAGCCGCGGUAAUACGUAGGUGGCAAGCGUUGUCCGGAUUUAUUGGGCGUAAAGCGAGCGCAGGCGGUUUCUUAAGUCUGAUGUGAAAGCCCCCGGCUCAACCGGGGAGGGUCAUUGGAAACUGGGAGACUUGAGUGCAGAAGAGGAGAGCGGAAUUCCAUGUGUAGCGGUGAAAUGCGUAGAUAUAUGGAGGAACACCAGUGGCGAAGGCGGCUCUCUGGUCUGUAACUGACGC